CAUGUAAUUGGGAGCUCUGAUGUCUUGUCAAAAAGCCAGAAGGACCUGACUCAGGCAGAAAGAUGUUUUUCCAGGUGUGCUGAUGAGCACUGUAAAUCCAGGAAGACUUUUGAAUAACUCUCAAUGAAAUCCAAGACCAUAUAGUGAUGCACCUGAAGAACUUUGCACCUCCACACAGUAUCGUCAACAUUGUGGAAAGAACCAGGCAUAUAAGCUAAAGUUUUAGACAAAUGCAGUCUUGAUCGCUGUGUCCUGAAGGGGAAAACUGCCCUCCUGCCAGAGGAGGAGUUGUCUGUUCACAUCUGGCAGCAGAAGAGGAACAAAGGGUUGGCUCUGAGAUGCAUUUUGCUGAAGUUUUACAGCAAGCACUACAGCAGUAAUCCCUGAUCAGAUUGAGCCAUCAGGCGACAGUGUGUGCUGUAGACAUCCCACCAAGCCUGCUCAGUGGUACAGCACAAACAAAUACACGACAGGUAAAAACAACUGUGCAAUUGUUGCACGGAGAUGUGGAAGCAAAUAACAAGUAAGGCAGAAGAAAAUCACUCCAGGCAGAGCAUUUCCAGCCUCCCCUAUGCAAGGCUGUGCCCAGCAAUACCCCCCAGCAGCAAGUGGAGCCAGAGCAAAGGUGAAUAGUGGGCCCAUGGGAUGCUGCACAGGGUGGCCACUGUCACUGCUGGUGGCAUCUGGGAUCAGUGUCAUGGUGAUGAGCUGGUGUCUACUAGAAAUGCAUGAGGGGACUGGUUUGUUUUUCUUUGAAUGCUGAUUUUUCUGGAAGUGCAGCAACUGGAAGCAGUAACUAUUGUGAGAGCACUGCUCUGUCUGUAACAAAGGCUGUGUUGUGUUGGCAUGCAGCACAGUGCCCAAAGCUCAGGAUGUUUUCAGCCUAUUUACUUUUAUUUGUAUUUGAGUAAAUCUGGCAUGGCUGCUGGAGAAUAAUAGAGAAUAAGGCCUAUUUUACUCAAAUGGAUCCUUGAUAAAAAAAUGUACUGUGAUUUCUUUCUACUGGAAGUUUGCAUGGCAAAGGCAAUUAACUACAACUGCUAGUAUGACCUUAAAAUUAAUAAUCUCAGAUUCUGUCCCAGAAAGUCACUCAGUGGAGUAUAUACAGAAAAGGAAAGUCAGAAAACCUAUUACAAAAUCUUGAUACUCAAGCUAGCACAGCUCCAGCCAGAGUAUAGAUGAGAUUGACUUUUGGGUUGCUCUGUCUUAAGAGUAUUGGGAAGGGGCUGCAGGAGUUCCAGUCCUCCUCUCUGUGGGAGGAGAAGCCUCAUUGAGUCAUUAAGGAGAGAUACCAGCUGUGACCAGGAAAACUGAGAAGUUUGGUCUAUGCUCUGGCCUAAAUUUAUUUUCUCUCAGAAGAAACCAUGAGUUUUUUAAAUUAGGAUUAAUUAAUUCAUGCAUACUGAAAAUUUUGAGAUCCACAAGGUAAACCAAAAGCAUCACAAUGCAUAAUUGUGUAAUAAAUAUAUAUACUUCCAUUUAUCAU